GACCAAUCAGCGUUCCGUUUCGCUGUAUAAAACCACGCGUCACAUUGUCUUCUUCCUCCUUCGGCCCGCUCUCUCAGAGGAUAGAGGUGUCUGUCGGGAUGAGUCUCGGGUCACCACGUGGUUCCCCGCAUCUCUACUGCAGAGGUCGGGUGAUCCAAUAUGAGCUGACUAAAUACAUCCCAUCAUGAAAAUACUGCUUGAGGUGGUCCGAGGGACCCUGUAAGAGGUGAGAAGACUUCUGUCGCAUGAGUUCAGCAUCUGAAGUGUGACGCGUUUCCUGAGACUCUGUUCAUCAAUGGGCAGACCGUGACGGGCUGGGGUCUGUGGUGCCCCUCCCGACCGCUGGCGGGGUCUGUGGUCCCUCUCCCGACCGCUGGGGUCUGUGGUCCCCCUCCCGACCGCUGGCGGGGUCUUUCAUGGUGACUUCUGUCUGAAGUCUUUCUCCUACAGGUGCUGAUGGCUGUAGGACUGGAGGUAGUGCAGCUCCUGUCCAGCGAGUGGAAGUUCUGAGCGGUGCAAGAGAAACCUGAUCCUAAAGUGUGGCUGGGUCUUUCAUAUCUGCUGUUAUCUGUUGGAUCAGCUCUGUAAAAUAAAGAUGUUGACCACAUGCUA